UACGUAGGUGGCAAGCGUUGUCCGGAUUUAUUGGGUUUAAAGGGUGCGUAGGCGGCUUUGUAAGUCAGUGGUGAAAUACUCCAGCUUAACUGGAGGGGUGCCAUUGAUACUGCGGAGCUUGAGUACAGAUGAGGUAGGCGGAAUUGACGGUGUAGCGGUGAAAUGCAUAGAUAUCGUCAAGAACACCGAUAGCGAAAGGCAGCUUACUGGGCUGUAACUGACGCUGAUGCACGAAAGUGUGGGGAUCAAACAGG
rnacentral:rRNA from 1 species